UAGGGAAUCUUCGGCAAUGGACGAAAGUCUGACCGAGCAACGCCGCGUGAGUGAAGAAGGUUUUCGGAUCGUAAAACUCUGUUGUUAGAGAAGAACAAGGACGUUAGUAACUGAACGUCCCCUGACGGUAUCUAACCAGAAAGCCACGGCUAACUACGUGCCAGCAGCCGCGGUAAUACGUAGGUGGCAAGCGUUGUCCGGAUUUAUUGGGCGUAAAGCGAGCGCAGGCGGUUUCUUAAGUCUGAUGUGAAAGCCCCCGGCUCAACCGGGGAGGGUCAUUGGAAACUGGGAGACUUGAGUGCAGAAGAGGAGAGUGGAAUUCCAUGUGUAGCGGUGAAAUGCGUAGAUAUAUGGAGGAACACCAGUGGCGAGGGCGGCUCUCUGGUCUGUAACUGACGCUGAGGCUCGAAAGCAUGGGGAGCAAACAGG
rnacentral:rRNA from 1 species